GAUGAACGCUGGCGGCGUGCCUGAUACAUGCAAGUCGAGCGAACAGAUGAGGAGCUUGCUCCUCUGACGUUAGCGGCGGACGGGUGAGUAACACGUGGAUAACCUACCUAUAAGACUGGGAUAACUUCGGGAAACCGGAGCUAAUACCGGAUAAUAUAUUGAACCGCAUGGUUCAAUAGUGAAAGACGGUUUUGCUGUCACUUAUAGAUGGAUCCGCGCCGCAUUAGCUAGUUGGUAAGGUAACGGCUUACCAAGGCAACGAUGCGUAGCCGACCUGAGAGGGUGAUCGGCCACACUGGAACUGAGACACGGUCCAGACUCCUACGGGAGGCAGCAGUAGGGAAUCUUCCGCAAUGGGCGAAAGCCCGACGGAGCAACGCCGCGUGAGUGAUGAAGGUCUUCGGAUCGUAAAACUCUGUUAUUAGGGAAGAACAAAUGUGUAAGUAACUAUGCACGUCUUGACGGUACCUAAUCAGAAAGCCACGGCUAACUACGUG
rnacentral:rRNA from 1 species